CUAUCUAGACCUACUCUAGUUUAGAGAAGAGAGGAGAGCUCUCAUCUCUAAACCCUAACUUUUGCUCUGUCUAUGAAUAAUGAAUAAUGAUCAAGGGGUGCCUCCUCCAGGGGCCAAGGGAGUCUGGUUUUAUAGUCCCCUCAAGUGAACCUAGGCCGUCAGAUCAAACCGACAUUGAUUGAACGGUUAUUCUUGAUCCUUUAGGUCAAUGGAGCAUAAUCCGCGAGAUUGAGAGUGAUUGGCCGAAAAAGGUGGGCGGGCGCCCUAAGGACUUGGGCGGGCGCCCUGUCCCUGACUCCGUUCGGUCUCCGCUUCCUUCCCGUGGCUUCUGGAGUCUUCUAGAUGUAAGAUAAUUGCGCGGCACAUUGAUAUCUCUAUGUAAUCCCGACGUGUGGGCCUUUCUUCCUUAUUUCCUGAUAACCCCCUGCAGAAAUAGACAAACACCAAAACUCGUGGAAUUCUGUCAGAUAAAACCCUAAGUCUCGAUGUUGAUUUCAUUUGGAUCCUUUUCUUUGUUUAUUUGAUAGUUAAAUUUGAUACUUAAGGACCGUCAACAAACUCCCCCAAGCUUACCUCUUGCUCGUCCCUGAGCAAGGAUAGACUCAGCUUUGGAUCAUAAGUUGUUGCAAUAUCUUUAAAAAUUGACGGUACACAUGCUUUUAAAUGAGGUCUCAUCUCUGAGUUAGAGUAAACUAUCAAGACUUAAAACUUACUUACUUUACCUUUCACCAUGGGACUUGUAACCGUCACUUCUGUGUUGAGUGGUUAAAAGAUAGAACAGUCCAGUCAAGUGCCAUGUCGCUUAUUCUUGAUCAGCUAUAGCUCUGGAGUUUUUGCAGAUUUCCAAAUAAAACUCAGAGAUUCCUUUGUAUGACUCUCUCAUAUCUCUCUUUUGUGGUAUUUCUGGAUCCUUACCAAGACAGUGAUGGUAUAUGCCUUCUCUCAAAAUAUGUGGUAUUUGUGGUAUAAGGGAUAGUGACAUUGUCUUCUCUCUCACCCUACUCUAAUAAGGCUUUAAUAUCUAGAGCUCAUAGGUGGGAGAUAAAAUAUACAUACUUACAAGACAUUUAUUGUAUAGUCAAACCAUGGAUCCAAAGAAAUAAAUCAAUAAGCCAAAUCAAGAUGUGCAUGUGUGGCGAAUGAAUAGUGUAUGGUGAUGAUGGUGAUAACAAUGGUGAAAGUCUAAUUCUUCUUUUGCUCUUUUGAGGGGAUACAUACCUUCCUUGCUUUUUGAAACUUUAUGAGGAGAAUGAGAUGCUCUUCUUUUUCUUUUCUCUGAGAUGGGUAUCCUGUACCCCUAAUUCUACUGUCGGACACUUGUCCAUUUUUACCUCUCGUCUCACUCUUUUUCUUUUCUUUCGAGGUUCCGGGCACUUGCCCCUUUUUAUUUCCUCGUUUAUUUUUAUUUUUUUCUUUUCUUUUUUUUUCUUCUUUUUUUUUCAGAGCACUCAUCUCUUGAGAUAAUAUAGCAAGUGGUAGUAGCAAGAUAACUUGAGCAUUUAUUUCACAAGGGAAAAACACAGAUGUUUUUGGCUAUUCUCUCCCGAAUUAGGAGUAGAAUAUUUUUAGGUGAUUCUGGAGAUGGAAAUGGAUGGAUAUAUGUGGAUGGUACUUCCGGAGUAGAAGUAGCAUAUAUAUGAGUGAACGUGCAAGUGAAUCUUGAUUUAACCACAUGACAAGCUCCUAAGGGUCUACACAGCUUGACCGCACUCAAUGCUCAUAAGCAGUAAAUAAUAAAUGUGUGGCUCAAAGUCUAGCAAGCAUGUAUAUAUGGCUAUGGUAGGAAUUUAAACUUUCAUCAUACAGGAACUCAUCAUGCAACAUUUUAAAGAUUUUUCAAAGAUAAAAUUCUCCAGAAUUCUAGCAUCUCUAGGAAUAGAUAAACAGCAGCUCAACCUUCCCAUAUCAUAUCCGUUAACAACUUAGAUUUCAGAUCAAGUUUUUAUCCCACAAGUUUAGAUCUAGAGCAAGCUUUAAAUUAUAACAGUUAUGUCUAAACUUGAGAGAGAACUUCAAAUUUGCAAAUUAGGCAGAGCAACUAUUCAUCAUAUCCAUGCUAGAGUUUUAUUAUUAAGAUUCAGAUUAGCAUAGCCACUUUAUUUAUUUAUUAAACAUACUAAGCAAAAGAUAUAUAUAUAUAUAAGCACAAAAUCUUUAUUUGGUUUUUCAUAGUUUAUGUAUUUUAAUAUUCUAAUAUAAUAUAAGUAUAAAGAUAGGUAGAAAUACUUAGCGAGAUAAAUGGGGGUGCUCUCCCCCAAGCUGAAUUUUGACGUAAUUUUUCUUGAUGUAGCUAGCAGGUGGCAGAGGUGUAUUUGAAAGUCAGCAGCAUUCUGACAGCGAUUAGAAUGUCCUCCGUCUGCUAGUCUUCUUGAUUCUUAAAUUCUGUGGAGCUCAAAUAGACAACAAAGCUUGUGGAACUAAUUAAGUGUUAGCAUAAAUAUCUAGCCUUCAUCACGUUGAGCUUCCUCAAUAAAUAUUACUCCCUGUUUUUAUAUUUUUAUUUUAUAAAGUAGAAAAGAAAUAUUUAUUUUAUUUUUAUGCCACCACAGUGAAGGUACUUAUGGGUUUUAUGCCACUCGUAUACUCACAUGGGGCUUAGUAUUUUUUAACAUUUUUAUUUUCUUUUCAAGAUAGUAUGAUUAACUAAUAAUCUAUUUAAGGAAAGUAAAUAAUUAAAUAGAAAAGGGAAUGCAGAAAGGAUAAAUAUGGAUAACUACCAAUCUUACCUUUCGGCGAGGGUUCAAUGUUUUAAGUCUUCUUGUCAAGACUUCUCAUCGUGUUCAUUCUUCAGGUGCGUCAUUUGAUUCAGGUGCGGACCUUGACGUCUGCACCUUUUAAUACGGUGUCACCCAUGUUCUUCGUUUGCCCAGCAGUUAGAAGUGCGGUGUUAGCAGUAUCUUGCUCAGUGUGUUUGUGCUCGUAGUGUACCUGCUCAUAGAGACAAGGCAGAGAUCAAGUGCAUGGGCCCUGUCGGUGGAAAACACCAACAGAACCAAAAGUGUAUUUGUUCUUCUCUAACCUUAAGCAUAGUGAGCAAGACAAAAUUGAUGGAUGAUAAGUUCAUGAGUGUAGCACCUAUAACAUUUGUCAGAUCAGAUCGCUCAACCUUAUGGAAAGAUAAUCUAUCUAUGUAUAUGUCUUUUUCUUUAUAUCUCUCAAUGAUUGAAUGUGUAACAUUUUAGCUCAUAUGAUUAGGAGUGUGGGAUCAUGGAGGUAGUACUAAGAACAAGGAUUAAAGGACUAAACUCGUUGAAUCCGUUGGGUUGGUUAAUCUAGAGUUGUAAAUCAUACACGUUUGUCUCUUUUAUUUAUAUGAACGCCAGAACCAAGGAGAAGCUUAUAAAAGUGAUAGUCAAGUACCUUAAGAUGUUACCUUGCUUGAAGAGUGAUGGUACAGUAUCACCUUGUGGAAGCUUUCCUUUCUUAGCGGUUGUGCAUCGUGUUUGUGGCACCCUCCAUAGAUCAUCUCUCUAUGAUGAAUGAGCUAUGUCCUUCUUGUGCAAAUUGUUAAACUUCAUGUGUCACUCUCUUCGUCUCUGAUGUGAAUUUAUCUCAAGACUUUCCAAAUCGAUAUUGAAAGUUUUUCUGCAGGGGUUAGUCCGACAAAAAUAUACCAAUGUCUACACAAGCAGUUUUUAGUUCAAUAAUCGAACUAGACUCCAUGUCUAAUCAGAUUAAGGAAGGCUGCUUAACCUAAGCACCAUGCUUAAUUUAAAAGCCAAUGGAAGUAUGGCGAGUACUUCCAAACCAACACUUGCUAGUAAAUAGACAAAGGUAGCAUGACAGUGUUUAUAGAGAUUUACUCAAGUGGAGAUGAAGUAGUGUGAUUAGUAUUUAACAAAUUGAGCAUGUCUCAAAGGUAGGGACAACCAGCAUAGCAACAUGGCAAAGGAUGUUUUUAUGUAAAGUACUCCCCCAAGCUUGAAUUUUGCAAAAUUCAAGUUUGGAUGAAUUUAAUUCAAUGUUGUAUGAUGAUUGGUUGGACAUACCUUGUGCUUGUCAUUCAUCCGAUCUUCUUGCUCCAAUCUUAGAAAGGUUAGUGACAAGAAUACCCGAAGGAAUAUUUUUCUACAAUUAUCCUUAUAUGCUCAAUACACAAGGUAAUGUUGCAAAUAAUUAAAGGCUCAUGUUACGAUCUGAUCAAUGCUUAUUUUAAGACACUAAGCUUAUCCUUGGGAAACCAUCAGUUUAUGUUGGCGAAGUGGUUUCCCCUCCGACGCCAACCUAUAUCUAGAUCAACUCAACGAGAUCUACAAUAUUUAUUAUAGACAUAUGCAUCGACAACCGCCCUUUUAAAGUUUUUAUAAAUAGAAAGGAAGAGGGGGUUGGAGAUCUCAAGUGUGGUGA
rnacentral:lncRNA from 1 species